UCCGCAUCCACGCGCACUUCACUGGGCUC
rnacentral:piRNA from 1 species